UGUUUUUCCCCCUCUCUCUCUCUUGAGAUCUCUGUUUCUCUUUGAGAUUUCUCUAGAUUUCUCGAGGAUCACCCCUUUUUUCUUUGUUUCUCCCAUCUUCUUUAUGUUUCUUUGUUUGCUUUCUUUCUACGGGCUUUCUAACGUCCUAGGUGACCGAGCUAGUGCUAGAUGGCUGAAUUCGUGCUCUAAUGUCCUAGAUGUCGAAGAUAGUGUUGGAUGGCUGAGUUCGUGCUCUGACGUCCUGGAUGGCUGAGAUGGUGCUCGAAAAUAGUUUUAUCUCCAUUUAUGUGUUUCUCCGGCAUCCUAGAUGGCUGAGUUCAUACUCCAAUGCCUUGGAUGGCACCGGCUUUUCAGAUGACAGUUGCAAUUUCUGACGUUGUGAAUGGACUGUCCGUUCCCUGGCAUUGUGGAUGGACGUUAUAGUUCUCUGGUGUUCUUUGGAAUACAUCUUGUAGUCGGCGGUUCUUCGGUGUGUUCGGUGGCAGUUAUGGAUGAUGCUGUAUUUUGCAGCUUUUGGCGUGGUUGGAAGUUACAGUUCAUGGUUCGUGGCUUUGUAACCUCCUCUUGGUCAGUUUUCGAUUUGAUUGGUAACUCCUCUUAUUAGUUUGUUUGCCAGUUUUCGGGAGUUUCUUGUAGAGUUUUGACUCUGUUGGAGGUCGGCCCUCCUUUAUUGGCGUUUGCAGAGCGCUUGCAAGAAUUUCUCCAGGACUUUUGGGCGAAUCUAAAAAUAGAACUGUAGAACUGUAGAAGAUAGCCGCCCUUCACAGUUCACACACGGCUGAGGUUCUUGUUCUUGUUCUUGCGCCGUGGAUCCACCACAACCACAGCCUCUCCCUGAGUGAUUGUGGACAGUCAAAAUUUUCCCCAGCUCUCGAGCCCGUUGGAAGGAAUCAGAUGAUCUGAAAAUUGAAUUAAACUGGUUCAACCGUUUUCUGAAGCACUUUCAGAUAAGCUAUUCAAACAGACACCAAAUAACUAGUGGAGCAUUACAUCACAAGAGCGUAUUGUAGUGUCCCAACAUCUGUGUGAUUGGAGUUUAGCUGGAGAAAUCGUUAUAGUGGAAUAUUCCCAGAAAUCAGAGGUGGCAAGCUCCACAAGUAGCAACUUGUACAGAACAAGAUGGCAGAAAGUUCGAGAUCCGGUUCAAGCCAUAGGCACGUUGGGAAUCACGAGGAUUGGUUAAUCUACAUAAUGGAGGAAAACCAAGGAUCAACUUGAACAGACAAAAAGUGCAAGAUACCACGUGUUUCAGAUCAGAUGAGGCAAGAGUCAGAAAACAACAUAGUAAAUAAUAGUAAGCCGUAUGAACCAGAAGUGGUUACUAUCGGUCCUUAUCAUCGUCACCUAAAUAACAAAGAAGCCUAUAAAUCAAUGAGUGCAGGAGCGCAAUGAGAAGAAAGUUAAGAACUUUGUUUUGAAAGAUGGGAAGAAAAUAAAAAUACGAGACUACAAGGAAAGGAUUAAGGGGAUAGCAGAAGAUGCACGGGCUUACUACGAGCAGGAUUCAAUAAAAGAUAUCAAAGAUAUUGAAGCAUUCAUUGAUAUGAUGAUUAAGGACGGUUGUUUCGUUGCCUAUUUCAUUUACUGCAUAACUUGCAGAAAUCUAAAGGAGUUGAACAUGGAUAGUAAGACGAUAGUUUUUGUAGCAAGGGACUUGCUAUUGCUGGAGAACCAACUCCCAUAUCCAGUCCUUGAGGUGUUGAUGGACUCCAUAUUUGGAAAAGCUAAAUCCAAAAGAGUGGCUUCAAAGUUUGUUUACAUGCUGGUCUUUGGGUGCAAGCCAGAAAAUUACGACAACAUUCUCCAUGACUCUACACCUUGUCAUCUCCUUGACCUCCUUCGAAGCAUGUUGGUCAAAAAAUAUCAACAAGGAAGCAACAAAUCAACCUUACAUCAAGGUCGAAUCCAAGGAUCUCAACCAGAAAAUGGCGACGAAUCAAAGUUUAUUGGAGCAUUCGAAGAAAAAGGAUAGCGACACACCAGUUUCGUACCGCCAGCGAGCUUAAAGCUGCAGGGAUCAGUUUCAAGAUGAGUGAAUCGUUAAGCUUCACUAGGGUUGAAUUCAAGCCUGGCUUCAUCUUGGGAGAUCUGAUACUUCCUAUGGUAGCCAUUGAUAAGUCAACUGAGGUUAUGUUUCUAAACUUAAUAGCUUAUGAAACAAGUUGUUUUGAUCUGGAUGAUUUUAACGUAACCUCCUACAUCUGUUUACUGGAUUCAUUAAUUGAUCGAGCUGAUGAUGUCAAAGAAUUAAGGUCAGACCGCGUACUCAUUAACAAUCUUGGUAGCGAUGAAGAAGCAGCCGAUCUUAUCAAUCAACUGGGUAGGAAUUUGAUGGAUCCUAAUAUUUAUAAUGGGGCUAAGACAGAGAUUAAGAAAUUCUGUGGACAAAAAUGGAGGAUAUGGUUUGCUGAAAUCAAGCUCAAAUAUUUUCGUAGCCCUUGGACUAUCAUCGCUCUCGUUGCUGCAUCUUUGGCGCUCUUCCUCACUGCUGUUCAGACAUAUUUUACAGUUUUCCAUAGCAAAUGAGGAGAGCACUCCAAUUCCAAUAUAGAGGGGAGACAAAUAUUGGAACCAACAAUUAAAUAUUAUGAUGUAUUAUUUAUGGUGUAGAUCCAUAAAAUUGGUAGACUAUGUGGCUGUUGGAUUUGUUAAACUUUUUUUUUUUUGCAUUUGUUAUUGGUUGUCUUUCCAAAUAUGUAGAAAUAACCCAUAAUAGUGGAGGGCAUUAUAUAUUCAUUGUUGGUUGUAGGUCAAUUGA